rnacentral:lncRNA from 1 species
GCUAGAAGGACUCCUAAGUGUUGUAGGACACAAAUGAGAAGUUUCUAGAAAGUUUCCAUCCUUGCUGUGGGUUUCAUGCAAUUCCUAUCAGUUUUGGGGCUUUCUAGAAGCCCUAUCCUUAAUCCCUACUUUGGUGCCGCACCCUAGCUUCUAGAUACCUUAAUUCCUUGCCUUGCAAGGCAUUCUAGAAACCUUAUCACCUUAUCCCAUUGCUGCCGCACCCUUAUCCCUUUUCCUUGCAAAAUCUGAUUGUUUAGACCUAUUUCCUUGUGGAUUUGG